GGACCAAGCUUUUUCUGAGCCCUCUAGCUGCACAGCACAGACCUUCUUGGGUAAAGAGCGUGUGGCUCUAUCACCAAAAGGGCAUCUCAGAAACACAGGAAUAGGGGUCUCAUGAGUCUGGGCAAAAUGAGUCUGGUUGGCAGUGCCAAUGGAAAAUUGUCACUCACCACCUGCCUCUACCAGGAUGAGGUCACUAGCUGCUGCUGGCACUGCCCUUUUAACACCCCCUGAGAGGCCUUCAGGGCAGAGACCAGGAAGGAGGGGCUCUGUGCUCUGGGAAAACUGGCAGAACAGGCCUUCAGCCAGUUAGACAUUUUUCAGGAGACAAUUUUAUGAGCCCAUUUCUUACAUCUUCUCCUAUCUGGAAAAGCACUAAAAUCAUUAACAGAGACAUCUGCUGCUCGUGACUGGCAGCAACCUUCUGCCAAAAUAGGUGCCUGACUGCCCACGCCCCCUUCACCAAAAUCACCUAUGUGCUCCCCCCUUCAGAGCUGUCCCUUGGAGCGAUCUGAGAGGCUGAGAGGCUGUCUCUUGGGCUGCAGUCUUUCUUUUGCCCCCAGUAAAACUUAACUCACAGCUCUCAUGCUGUGCAUUUUUUUUUUUUCAGUCAACAACAGCGUGAAAGGAAGAGGGAGACUGCACCUGCUGCAAGGAAGCCCGUGGAGAGGGCGAAGAGGUCUGUGGGAUAUCACUGUGUUGUCCCGAAUAUGGCCGAGUCUCUGCCUCUGCAACUACUGCCUAGUUAUCGCUAUUCCAGAAUCCCUACGACAUGACAGGGAAGGGCCGAUAAGACAUGAACAUGCCCACCAAGAACUUAAAAACAUAUAAGCAGGCUAUAUUUCUCUAAAGAGUCCCUGCCCCUCCUAAAGGUGAUCAUUCAAGGCUGCCAAUAACAUAAAGAUUUGAAGACUACGGGGGGCGGGGCGGGGGAACUAGCCCUAUUGUUUUAAGUUGAAUUAAAGUAUUCUUGGAACUCACUGAAUAUGCCGAAAAACAACUACCUAGGCUGUCCUCUGCAAGUGAUGACUUCAAGGAGACUA
rnacentral:lncRNA from 1 species